GCUUUCUCAUGCUUGUGUGCCAACAAGGAGCAGUGUAAUUCUGUUCAUCCGUAUAUUGUAUUUAUUCCGAUUGUUUCCUAUAUAAUUUUGCGUAACAUCCCAGGCUGGUUACGCACAAGAUACAGCAGCUUCUUCGCCUGGUUUGGCAAAAUUUCAUUGGAACUGUUUAUCAGCCAGUACCACGUGUGGCUGGCUGCGGAUACGUACGGCGUGCUGGUGUUGAUCCCCAACUACCCUGUCCUCAACGUUAUCCUGACCUCCUUCAUCUUCAUCUGCCUCAGCCACGAGAUCCACAAAGUGACCACCAUCCUCACCAAGUACGCUGUCCCCAACGAGUGGAAGCUCCUACUGCGCAACUUCGUCUUCUUUGUGGCACUUCUAGUUCCAAUCUGCAUCACCAACGGCUUAGUUUUCUAGUUUGUGGCACUUCUAGUUCCUAUCUGCAUCACCAACGGCUUAGUUUUCUAGUUUGUGGCACUUCUAGUUCCAAUCUGCAUCACCAACGGCUUAGUUUUCUAGUUUGUGGCACUUCUAGUUCCAAUCUGCAUCACCAACGGCUUAGUUUUCUAGUUUGUGGCACUUCUAGUUCCAAUCUGCAUCACCAACGGCUUAGUUUUCUAGUUUGUGGCACUUCUAGUUCCAAUCUGCAUCACCAACGGCUUAGUUUUCUAGUUUGUGGCACUUCUAGUUCCAAUCUGCAUUACCAACGGCUUAGUUUAUCUUUUUAUAAUACAUCUCGAACAGAAGAAAAAACGAAAAUUGUGUGUCGAUAAUUCCAGUUUGGUUUGAUUUAAAAAGAGGAAAUUUGUUUUGAAAACAAAGAAAAUGUGCUAUUUUUAUGUGCAGUUUGUUAAAACAGUGGGCAUGAUAAAAAUAAAUACAUAUAGAAUACCAUACAAGUUUUCACUACAUAAUUUGUUUACAAAACGGGUUAACGGGUUUCGUAAAAGAAAAUGUUUUGAUGGACAGGGGAUAGAAACUCAUGCUUUCGCAAAAGUGUAAACAACCGUUAAUACCACUUGUAAGUUUAUGCGGUAACUUGAACUUGUACAUUAAGAAAAAACCCCAGAACAUUUUUGUUUAUUCCAAAACAUGUUUCCUAACUGGAAAUAUUGACACAAAGCACUUAAAAUGUUUGAUGGUACAAGGUAUAGAAGAGGUUAUUAACAUUACCAUAGUGUACUUUUUGAUGCCAUGUUUUUCUGUUUAACAUUCAUAUUUUUGAGUUUAGUCCUAGAUCAACAAAACUUGAUUUAUAGUUGCAUCUCAAUCCAAGUUAAAAGGAAUGUUUUUUUUUUUUUUUUUUUUUUUUCUUUUUUUUGAGAACUAAAUUAAUCAUGAAUUUGACAUCACAAUUUUUUUCUUUUCUAAAAUUAAUUACAAAUUGUGAUAAACAUGUAUGGAUGAGACUAUGAGCAACACCAAAUCUAUUUAUGGUAGGCAGUGGUGCAGACAUGGAAAAUAUUCAACUAGCCCAACCAGAACCAACUAGAAUUUACUAGCCCACCAGAAUUUCUACUAGUCUGCCAGUCUAUAGAACAAUAAAUUAUUAUUAUAUUGACAAAACAUUAUUAAGAACACUCACCAUGCAAGACAGAUGUAUUCUGUAUGGGUUGACGUCAUGGAAUGGGUCUGUCUUGCA
rnacentral:lncRNA from 1 species